rnacentral:rRNA from 1 species
ACGAACGCUGGCGGCGUGCCUAAUACAUGCAAGUCGAGCGAUUGGUGCUUGCACCAAAGCGGCGGACGGGUGAGUAACACGUGGGUAACCUGCCCAAGAGACUGGGAUAACACCUGGAAACAGAUGCUAAUACCGGAUAACAACACUGACGCAUGUCUAGAGUUAAAAGAUGUUCUUAUCACUCUUGGAUGGACCUGCGGUGCAUUAGCUAGUUGGUAAGGUAACGGCUACCAAGGUAAUGAUGCAUAGCCGAGUUGAGAGACUGAUCGGCCACAUUGGGACUGAGACACGGCCCAAACUCCUACGGGAGGCAGCAGUAGGGAAUCUUCCACAAUGGACGCAAGUCUGAUGGAGCAACGCCGCGUGAGUGAAGAAGGGUUUCGGCUCGUAAAGCUCUGUUGGUAGUGAAGAAAGAUAGAGGUGUAAGCCUUUAUUUGACGGUAAUUACUUAGAAAGUCACGGCUAACUACGUGCCAGCAGCCGCGGUAAUACGUAGGUGGCAAGCGUUGUCCGGAUUUAUUGGGCGUAAAGCGAGUGCAGGCGGUUCAAUAAGUCUGAUGUGAAAGCCUUCGGCUCAACCGGAGAAUUGCAUCAGAAACUGUUGAACUUGAGUGCAGAAGAGGAGAGUGGAACUCCAUGUGUAGCGGUGGAAUGCGUAGAUAUAUGGAAGAACACCAGUGGCGAAGGCGGCUCUCUGGUCUGCAACUGACGCUGAGGCUCGAAAGCAUGGGUAGCGAACAGGAUUAGAUACCCUGGUAGUCCAUGCCGUAAACGAUGAGUGCUAAGUGUUGGGAGGUUUCCCCUCUCAGUGCUGCAGCUAACGCAUUAAGCACUCCGCCUGGGGAGUACGACCGCAAGGUUGAAACUCAAAGGAAUUGACGGGGGCCCGCACAAGCGGUGGAGCAUGUGGUUUAAUUCGAAGCAACGCGAAGAACCUUACCAGGUCUUGACAUCCAGUGCAAACCUAAGAGAUUAGGAGUUCCCUUCGGGGACGCUGAGACAGGUGGUGCAUGGCUGUCGUCAGCUCGUGUCGUGAGAUGUUGGGUUAAGUCCCGCAACGAGCGCAACCCUUGUCAUUAGUUGCCAUCAUUAAGUUGGGCACUCUAAUGAGACUGCCGGUGACAAACCGGAGGAAGGUGGGGAUGACGUCAAGUCAUCAUGCCCCUUAUGACCUGGGCUACACACGUGCUACAAUGGACGGUACAACGAGAAGCGAACCUGCGAAGGCAAGCGGAUCUCUGAAAGCCGUUCUCAGUUCGGACUGUAGGCUGCAACUCGCCUACACGAAGCUGGAAUCGCUAGUAAUCGCGGAUCAGCACGCCGCGGUGAAUACGUUCCCGGGCCUUGCACACACCGC